rnacentral:rRNA from 1 species
AAAGUGAUCGCGACCUCAGAUCAGACGUGACAACCCGCUGAAAGCAUAUUACAGCGGAGGAAAAGAAAACCAGGAUUCCCUCAGUAACGGCGAGUGAAGAGGGAAGAGCCCAGCGCCGAAUCCCCGGCGCUUGGCGGUCGCGGGAACCGGCGUAUAGAAGACCUCCUUUCUCCGACGAUGCUCAGGGGCCCAAGUCCUUCUGAUCGAGGCCUAGCCUGUGGACGGUGUGAGGCCGGUGUGGCCCCUGGCUCGUCGGGAUGGAGUCUUCUUGGAGUCGGGUUGCUUGGAAUGCAGCCCAAAGUGGGUGUAAACUCCAUCAAGGCUAAAACUGGCACGAGACCGAUAGUCAACAAGUACCGUAAGGGA